AUUCUGGGUAGCACAGUGCCCAACCAUGGUCACGAAGGUGGUUUUCCCAGGGUGAGGCUCAUCCAUUGCACUGCGGGUGUGCUGACCCCUGUGAUUUCCCCAAAUGCGGGAAACUCGACUGCAUAAUUUGUGUAGUGAACUCCAUUGUUCAA
rnacentral:snRNA from 1 species